UACGUAGGGGGCUAGCGUUGUCCGGAAUUACUGGGCGUAAAGGGCUCGUAGGCGGCCAACUAAGUCAGACGUGAAAUCCCUCGGCUUAACCGGGGAACUGCAUCUGAUACUGGAUGGCUUGAGUUCGGGAGAGGGAUGCGGAAUUCCAGGUGUAGCGGUGAAAUGCGUAGAUAUCUGGAGGAACACCGGUGGCGAAGGCGGCAUCCUGGACCGACACUGACGCUGAGGAGCGAAAGCCAGGGGAGCAAAGCGGG
rnacentral:rRNA from 1 species